rnacentral:rRNA from 1 species
CACAUGCAAGUCGAGCGGUAACGAUGGUAGCUUGCUACCAGGUCGUCGAGCGGCGGACGGGUGAGUAAUGCUUGGGAAUUUGCCUUUUUGAGGGGGAUAACUCGUGGAAACUCCUGCUAAUACCGCAUAAUGCCUUCGAACCAAAGGGGGCUACCUUCCCGCCUUGUGGAGAGGCCCGAGUGCGAUUCGGAUUAUGUUGUUGUAACGGUUUAGGCUCACCACGAUCUCUAUCUGUUCUGGGUCUGAGAGGAUGAUCCUGGGACUGAGACUGAGACCCGACUCCUAACUCCUACGGCAGGGGGGAAGGUGAAUCUUGGAGGAAACCCUGAUGCUGAUUGCCCCAUGCCGGAAGAAGGACUCCCGCCUUCUAGAUGAACUACUUCUGGUGCAAUCCACUCCCAUGACCGGUCAUAACGUGUGUACAUUGACGUUACCUACAUUCAAAGCACCGGUUAAUUUCGUGAUUACUACCGAUUCCGACUUCAUGGUGCGAGGUUGCAGACUCAUUACUGGACUACAAACAGUUUUAAGCGAUUUGCUUGGCCUCAUGUACUUCCCUGCGCCUCUCGUACUGCCCAUUGCAUUUGAAACUGGCACGCUACCGUGCAGUACAUGAUGAUGUGAUUUCCGCCCCACCUUCGUCCGGCUUGUCGAUCGCAGUCUCCCUAAAUGUCCCACCCGACCUCCUGGCACUGACACUACAAGCUGAUGCGCUCGAGCGUGGACUUAACACAGGAUCUACAUGACCCUGAGCUGACAACCGCCAUGCGAUGUCUGCCACUUGGUUUCCAAACUUAACAUUCCUGUCUCUAAAAUUUUCGAGGUAUGUAGAGCCCUGGGGAGGGUACUUCCCGCUAGGAUCAAAUUAAACUGCAUGUGUCCAGCGCUCGUCACGAGCCCCCGUCAAUUCUGUUUUAGUUUUAAUCCUGCGCCCAGUACUCUCACCAGCGCCUCUGACAUAUCUUGGUUAUUUUCUAUCACUAGAAUUGCUGACCUUUCGCCAGCGACGUAGACAGGCAGCUGUUAGGGUGUCGUCUACUCGGGUCUCUGAGAUCGUGUUUGUUACCCACGCUAUCGACACCUACCCGUUGAUCGUCAGUGCCAGCGCUCGACGUCGCCUACCUCGUGUGUGCCAUCGAAUGUGUACGACUUGCACGAGGUACGCGACGAGUCCCGCCCCUUUGGCUGCCCAACAGGCCUGGGCGAUCACCAGAUGCCACAUAUCGCCG